UACGGAGGAACCGAGCGUUAUCCGGAUUUAUUGAGUUUAAAGGGUGCGUAGGCGGACUGGUAAGUCAGCUGUGAAAGUUUACGGCUUAACCGUGAGAUUGCAGUUGAUACUGUUGGUCUUGAGGAUACAUGAGGUGCGCGGAAUUUGUGGUGUAGAGGUGAAAUGCUUAGAUAUCACGAAGAACUCCAGUUGCGAAAGCAGCUCACUGGUCUAUAACUGACGCUGAUGCACGAAUGUGUGGGUAUCAAACAGG
rnacentral:rRNA from 1 species